rnacentral:lncRNA from 1 species
CUUUAACAAAAAGAGAAAAAAAAACGUCAGCCUUCAUUAUAGCAGUAUGUUUUAAAGUGUCGUGAUAUUAAACAAAUGUAAGUUGAAAGGAAACAACACAGGGUAUGAUUAAACAUAGUAUAAGAUAGACAAGCAGUGAUUACUGGCUCCUGACGUGGGAAAGAACAUAAUGUGGUGGUAUGAAAACACCUAACACCGGACAGAAUAAGACUAAUAACAAAUUACACCCUCUCAAUUAUCAAAAGCUGUUAAAAAAAAAUGAGAAAUUUAACUUGACAUCGGACACAAUGAAUAAUUGAUUAUACUUGUCAUACACAAAAAAAUUGCUGAUAUGAGAUACAAUCAAUUAUGAAUUUUGUUAAAUACUUAUGUCACGUUAUGCCGAAACAUUAUCCUUUUGUAUGUUGUCCAUAAGGAUAUUAUAUUGUGUGAUGCAUAUGAAUUCGUAAAAAAAAAUACAAAAAACAUCUAUGCGCAAUAUUAUCAUAAAAGUUUUAAUCAAUUGACCAUUUAAUAUUGUUUUACCAUAUGUGAUGUCAACUGGAGAAACCUUUCAAAGGAGACAACAGGCUCAAUAUAAAUAAAAACACAAAUGACAUUUCAAAGAACACAAUGAGUGUAAUAUAAAGGUUCAUGUUUGUGACCCAAAUUUGUUUAAGUUAAAUCGAAUUAUGACUAUUGAUCAGCGAUACACUACUAUAAUUGCCUUUAUUUAUGUAUUUGAUGAAAACAUUAAUUGAUAAAAUGUUAUAUAUAUAGAAAUUCAUUCAAAUUUUAACAGGUUGAGUACGAAGGCAGUAGGAUGUUAUAGAUCAAUCCUUCAUAUGAAUAUUCAAAUAGUCUUAUUGAAUUAAUUUUUAUUUUGAAAAGCUAUUGUCGUUAGUUAUUUAUAAUUUUUAAGCAGUUCUACUGAACCAACUAUAUUUGAUCUUGUCUUUUCUUUCAAACACGACUGUGCACCAAGAUGGUCUAAAGCUCUCAAGCCAAUAAAGGACAAGGAACUGAGACUUUGACAGGACACUGAUGGAUUCAGUUUUAAUGAUAUACCCUAUUGUAAUUAAAGAAAUAAACAACGUAUUUAAAUGUAAUGCCGUUUGGCAAUAAUGUUGCGGUUGAUAAAUUAGAGACAAUAGUAUUUUAGUUAUAAUAAAAAAAUAUUAAAAAAAUAGAGAAUUUCAAAAAGCGGGAGACUUCAUCUACAAGGUAAGCAUCUUCCGCUAUGCCUGCAUCACCAGUCAUUGAAUCUACUAAUUCAAAUCUGUAGAGAAUAAGACAUAAUUGGUAAUUUAAAGUUAAGAUGACUUUUCUGGUAUGGAACAUUUUGAAACCACAGAAACAUUUACCAAGUGAAGAUGGCAGUGUUAAAAAAAUGCACAAUCUUAACGUUAUAAUUGCAAUAUACAAACGCCAUACAACGGACAAGAGGGUAUAUGAUGGUUUACAAAUGAAUAGUUGAAACUCUAGCGUUUAUCAUAUAUUCUAGUUUGUACGAGUUUGAUAAUACAGGUAUUUUGAUAUUUUGUUAAGUGACGAUGUCUGCUUAUGUUUGAUGACACGUAGAAUGUGACCACCCAAUAGCAGUUUUCAACAAUUAUAAUGUCAUUGAAAAAGUUUUUCUAAAAAUUAAUGAACGUACUAUCUCGAUCAACUAAUGUUUCGUAAAUAUAUGAAGUUAAAUAGGUUGUAUACAUCAAAAUCAAUUGUACUAUUACAUUAAGUUAUUAUAUAUUAACGUAUGAGGAUGCCUUCCUGCUAAGUUUUCCUUUGUAAAGGCAACCGCCUUAAGUGCUACAUGUAUAAACGAGGUUUGAUAUCCAUAUAACAUCCAUACGAUUGAUUGAUUGUUUACUGCUUUACUCAAAUAUGGAAAUUAUGUCAUGUUUAUUUAAGACGAAAUGGACAAUACAUGAUCGAAACUUAUCCGUUAAUGUGGAAAGCAGCACAUUCUUAUUCAUUUGUUAAAGCUACCUAAUGAAGUUUUGACAACACUCUGUCCAUGUUGUUCUACUUUUGUUUAAAAAGACCUUUCGGAAUCCUCGGAUCAAAGACGGAAAUUGAAAUGCCGUAUUAAAUCAUUAUCAGAACAAGCACGGAAAGUAAAAUAGGGUUUUGUCAGAUUUGUGUAAUUGAAGUGUGCUGAGAGGAAUGCAUUAUAUUCAGAUUGUUACCUUAAUAAUUUUGAUUUAUUACACAAAUUCUUUUGUUGUGUUUUAUGAGAAUAGCAGGAAGAGUUAUAUUUUUCACUUUCAAUAAAAUCGAUUAAUCAAAAUGUUUCUGUCUAUAGAGCGUUUAUUGGAUUAUGCCUUGCUGGUUGAUAUGGAUGUGAUAUUGAAAAUUAUAUAAUGAUCACUUUAUAGUCACCGUCACGUAAAAUUGGCACCAUGUUUUUUGUCAAUAUUUUCUUAAAUAUCGACCACGUUUACUAAAGAUCAUGUUUUUCAAUUAGCGGAAGAAAAAUCCUGUCCAAAUAUCCACAACUGUCCUACCUUUUGUUGUGUUUGCACUGUAUAAUCCUGACCUUCACAUAAUCCAAGAUUAUUUUGUAUGGUGGAAUCCGACAUUGUUAUUACCGGAAGUGUUGCCGGGAAAUUGUAUCAUCAAUGACAAUGAUAUUACCUGAGAGUAACGAAUGUUAUGGAAUAAGGGAUCCUCAUAGAAACCAAGAUGGCGGUUUUACAAUGUAAAUAAUCUUGAAAAAUGUGAAGGUCAGGAUUAUACAGUGCAAACACAAUAAAAGGUAGGACAGUAGUGGAUAUUUGGACAAGAUUUUUCUUCCGCUAAAUGAAAAACAUCAUCUUGAGUAAAUGCGGCUGAUAUUUAAUUUUUUUUUAACAAAAAACAUGGUGCCAAUUUUACGUAACGGCGACUAUAGUUGAUAUCUCAUUUUAUUCCUCCAUUUUAUGUGUUUUCAUUUAAUUUGACGUAAUACAGAUUAGUGUGUUAAUAAAGGGUUUGUAACCGU